UACGUAGGCAGCGAGCGUUGUUCGGAAUUACUGGGCGUAAAGAGUGCGUAGGCGGUGCUCCAAGUCUGUUGUGAAAUCUCCCGGCUUAACUGGGAGGGUGCGGCGGAACCUAGAGUGCUAGAGGGUGGGAUAGGUAAGCGGAAUUCCUGGUGUAGCGGUGAAAUGCGUAGAUAUCAGGAGGAACACCUGUGGUGUAGACAGCUUACUGGACCACUUCUGACGCUGAGGCACGAAAGCGUGGGGAUCAAACAGG
rnacentral:rRNA from 1 species